rnacentral:lncRNA from 1 species
CAGCAGCCGCCUCUCAGCCACGGGCUGCACACUGACCCGACGCGACCUUCGGUCAGGGGCCGCCAGCCUGGGCCACCUAUACAACGACAGCCUGCUCUGGGGCUUCCUGAGGAGGUGCCUGCCCCGCCGAGGUUCAACAGCUUUGGAGAGCAGGACAUCUUUUCCUCUCAGCCUGGCCCUCUGCAAUGGAGGCCAUAAAUAGGCCAGUAGUGGAAGCUACAGAACACGUGAGCAUGGCAGGGGCUGAGCUCCAUUUCAAGAUAUGGGUAAGAGGAGGGAUGCUGUUGCCUUGGAGCUGCCAGGCUGCAUGGCAGACAAGCAGGAUUCCUGCUGCCUCCCAUGGAGACUACACUGGAACGCAGGUCUUGCCCUGUCAUCCAGGCUGGAGUGCAAUGGAUCUUGGAUCACUG